rnacentral:rRNA from 1 species
UACUCGAGUGGCGAACGGGUGAGUAACACGUGGGUGAUCUGCCCUGCACUUCGGGAUAAGCCUGGGAAACUGGGUCUAAUACCGGAUAGUAGCCAUUUUUAGUGUGAUGGUUGGAAAGUUUUUUCGGUGUAGGAUGAGCUCGCGGCCUAUCAGCUUGUUGGUGGGGUAAUGGCCUACCAAGGCGGCGACGGGUAGCCGGCCUGAGAGGGUGGACGGCCACAUUGGGACUGAGAUACGGCCCAG